rnacentral:rRNA from 1 species
CCAGACUCCUACGGGAGGCAGCAGUGAGGAAUAUUGGUCAAUGGUCGGGAGACUGAACCAGCCAAGCCGCGUGAGGGAUGAAGGUACAGAGUAUCGUAAACCUCUUUUGUCAGGGAACAAAGGCGGGGACGCGUCCCCGGAUGAGUGUACCUGAAGAAAAAGCAUCGGCUAACUCCGUGCCAGCAGCCGCGGUAAUACGGAGGAUGCGAGCGUUUCCCGGGUUUAUUGGGUUUAAAGGGGGCGCAGGGGGCUUAUGAAGUGGCGAGCGAAAGCGGGGGGCGCACCCCGUCAGCCCGCCGUUGAAACUGCAUCCCUUGAGUGCGCGAGAAGUAUGCGGAAUGCGUGGUGUAGCGGUGAAAUGCAUAGAUAUCACGCAGAACUCCGAUUGCGAAGGCAGCAUACCGGCGCGCAACUGACGCUCAUGCACGAAAGCGUGGGUAUCGAACAGGAUUAGAUACCCGCGUA